rnacentral:sRNA from 1 species
AGAAGUAAAAAGUCGUAACAAGGUUUCCGUAGGUGAACCUGCGGAAGGAUCAUUAUUGAAAUGCUUUGGAGAAGUACUGUUGCUGGCCUCUUAACAAAGGCAUGUGCACGUUCUUCUUUAAAUCUAUUCAUCCACCUGUGCACUUUUUGUAGGAGUUCUUGUGAGGUUUUGGUUGUGGGGCUUGCUCUGCAGUCGAUUCUUUACGAGUCUUCUAUGUCUUACAAACUCUAUUAGUAUGUUUCAGAAUGUCAUUUAUUGGGACUUCAUUGGCCCUUUAAACUUAUACAACUUUCAGCAACGGAUCUCUUGGCUCUCCCAUCGAUGAAGAACGCAGCGAAAUGCGAUAAGUAAUGUGAAUUGCAGAAUUCAGUGAAUCAUCGAAUCUUUGAACGCACCUUGCGCCCUUUGGUAUUCCGAAGGGCAUGCCUGUUUGAGUGUCAUUAAAUUCUCAACUUCAAUAGUUUUUAUAGCUCAUUGAAGCUUGGAUGUGGGGGCUUGCUGGCGUCUUAGAUGUUCGGCUCUCCUUAAAAGCAUUAGUGGAAACUCGUUUGUUGGACCACCCUUGGUGUGAUAAUUAUCUACGUCUUGGUCAGUUCGACAGCUCAGUUCGAUCCUCAGAACGCUCCUCGGAGUGCUCUGGUUGGGGCGGCUGCAUUAACUUGCUCUGCCUGUAGUCUUACUAGAGUAGGGAUGUCUGCUUUCUAACCGUCUUCGGACAAUUUAUUGACUAUUUGACCUCAAAUCAGGUAGGACUACCCGCUGAACUUAAGCAUAUCAAUAAGCGGAGGAAAAGAAACUAACAAGGAUUCCCCUAGUAACUGCGAGUGAAGAGGGAAAAGCUCAAAUUUAAAAUCUGGCAGUCUCCGAUUGUCCGAGUUGUAAUUUAGAGAAGUGUUACCCGCGUUGGACCGUGUACAAGUUUCCUGGAAUGGAACGUCAUAGAGGGUGAGAAUCCCGUCUUUGACACGGACUACCAAGGCUUUGUGG